rnacentral:rRNA from 1 species
GACGAACGCUGGCGGCGUGCUUAACACAUGCAAGUCGAACGAUGAACCCGGAGCUUGCUCCGGUGGAUUAGUGGCGAACGGGUGAGUAACACGUGGGUAACCUGCCCUUGACUCUGGGAUAACUGCGGGAAACUGUAGCUAAUACCGGAUACGACCCUCGGCGGCAUCGCCAGGGGGUGGAAAGAAUUUCGGUCAAGGAUGGACUCGCGGCCUAUCAGCUAGUUGGUGAGGUAACGGCUCACCAAGGCGACGACGCGUAGCCGGCCUGAGAGGGCGACCGGGCACACUGGGACGGCGACACGGACCAGACCACGACGGGAGGCAGCAGUUGGGAAUAGUGCACGAUGGGCGCAAGCCGGAUGCAGCAACGCCGCGUGAGGGAUGACGGCCUUCGGGUUGUAAUCCUCUGUUAGUAGGGAAGAAGCGAAAGUGACGGUACCUGCAGAAAAAGCACCGGCUAACUACGUGCCAGCCGCCGCCGUAA